rnacentral:rRNA from 1 species
CGAAGCUGCGGCAGCGACACUAUGUGUUGUUGGGUAGGGGAGCGUUCUGUAAGCCUGUGAAGGUGGCCUGUGAGGGUUGCUGGAGGUAUCAGAAGUGCGAAUGCUGACAUAAGUAACGAUAAAGCGGGUGAAAAGCCCGCUCGCCGGAAGACCAAGGGUUCCUGUCCAACGUUAAUCGGGGCAGGGUGAGUCGACCCCUAAGGCGAGGCCGAAAGGCGUAGUCGAUGGGAAACAGGUUAAUAUUCCUGUACUUGGUGUUACUGCGAAGGGGGGACGGAGAAGGCUAUGUUGGCCGGGCGACGGUUGUCCCGGUUUAAGCGUGUAGGCUGGUUUUCCAGGCAAAUCCGGAAAAUCAAGGCUGAGGCGUGAUGACGAGGCACUACGGUGCUGAAGCGACAAAUGCCCUGCUUCCAGGAAAAGCCUCUAAGCAUCAGGUAACAUCAAAUCGUACCCCAAACCGACACAGGUGGUCAGGUAGAGAAUACCAAGGCGCUUGAGAGAACUCGGGUGAAGGAACUAGGCAAAAUGGUGCCGUAACUUCGGGAGAAGGCACGCUGAUAUGUAGGUGAAGCGACUUGCUCGUGGAGCUGAAAUCAGUCGAAGAUACCAGCUGGCUGCAACUGUUUAUUAAAAACACAGCACUGUGCAAACACGAAAGUGGACGUAUACGGUGUGACGCCUGCCCGGUGCCGGAAGGUUAAUUGAUGGGGUUAGCGGUAACGCGAAGCUCUUGAUCGAAGCCCCGGUAAACGGCGGCCGUAACUAUAACGGUCCUAAGGUAGCGAAAUUCCUUGUCGGGUAAGUUCCGACCUGCACGAAUGGCGUAAUGAUGGCCAGGCUGUCUCCACCCGAGACUCAGUGAAAUUGAACUCGCUGUGAAGAUGCAGUGUACCCGCGGCAAGACGGAAAGACCCCGUGAACCUUUACUAUAGCUUGACACUGAACAUUGAGCCUUGAUGUGUAGGAUAGGUGGGAGGCUUUGAAGUGUGGACGCCAGUCUGCAUGGAGCCGACCUUGAAAUACCACCCUUUAAUGUUUGAUGUUCUAACGUGGGCCCCUUACCGGGGUUGCGGACAGUGUCUGGUGGGUAGUUUGACUGGGGCGGUCUCCUCCUAAAGAGUAACGGAGGAGCACGAAGGUUGGCUAAUCCUGGUCGGACAUCAGGAGGUUAGUGCAAUGGCAUAAGCCAGCUUGACUGCGAGCGUGACGGCGCGAGCAGGUGCGAAAGCAGGUCAUAGUGAUCCGGUGGUUCUGAAUGGAAGGGCCAUCGCUCAACGGAUAAAAGGUACUCCGGGGAUAACAGGCUGAUACCGCCCAAGAGUUCAUAUCGACGGCGGUGUUUGGCACCUCGAUGUCGGCUCAUCACAUCCUGGGGCUGAAGUAGGUCCCAAGGGUAUGGCUGUUCGCCAUUUAAAGUGGUACGCGAGCUGGGUUUAGAACGUCGUGAGACAGUUCGGUCCCUAUCUGCCGUGGGCGCUGGAGAACUGAGGGGGGCUGCUCCUAGUACGAGAGGACCGGAGUGGACGCAUCACUGGUGUUCGGGUUGUCAUGCCAAUGGCACUGCCCGGUAGCUAAAUGCGGAAGAGAUAAGUGCUGAAAGCAUCUAAGCACGAAACUUGCCCCGAGAUGAGUUCUCCCUGACUCCUUGAGAGUCCUGAAGGAACGUUGAAGACGACGACGUUGAUAGGCCGGGUGUGUAAGCGCAGCGAUGCGUUGAGCUAACCGGUACUAAUGAACCGUGAGGCUUAACCUUACAACGCCGAAG